CCUUGAUAAAUCUUUAUCAAUAUCAAUAUUAUUGUCAAACAAAAAAGAUUUCUAGUUGUCUAGAUAUGAAUUGUUAUUACUUGAAAUGUCGUCCGACUAUAGAUUUUGUCAUGAAGGUUAGUAGUUAAUUGUAUAAGUUAAAACAAUAUAUCCCAAGCACUUAAUUUAACUUCCAUUAUAAGAUAAUGAAUUAACCAAAUCUCUUACAUGCAUUUCAUCAGUUAUUGGAAAUUGUAGAUAAUAUUGGCAUAGAGCACAUCUUGUACAUUCUUGAGCUUGGUAGCAUUUAAAAACCUAUACAAUAAAGACACAAUAAUUUUUGCAUGGUCUGAUUUAGACAUGAUUACUCUCAAGAAGCCCUUGUCAUUCUCAAAUCAUCACAUUGUUGAAAAGAUAGCUAACAUCCGCAAAGAGAUUGAUUAUGAAAUAAUUGAAUUAGAAAGAAAUAUCUUGAGUAUAUGAGACACUUUAUAGUAUAGAUAUAUUGUUAUAUUUUGUACCUAUAAUUUAGGCAAAAUAUUUUAUAAAAGAUUUAUGCGUAUAUAUGCUAAGAUCCUCUACCACAUUACCACAUGUAUAUAUAUAUGAAAACCCUUGUUAAUAAUAAUUAUUAGUUUAUAACCUUUCUACAUGGUAUUAGAGCCAGGUUCCGAUCAUGGGACAUGUGGGUUAUGGGUCUACCACGCUUCCGCUAUGUAUUUUUCAUUCUCGAUGAGUUAUGGACUUGGUUUUCAUUCUCGAAUGAAUCAUUUGACACUUGACUAUCACUUUGUUUGAGAAUAAGUUCAAGCCAAAACUCGUCGCGUUUCACACAUAAUCUCGAUAACCAAGCUAGCUGACGCGCUCACGAAGUCUUUUCGAUGCGUUGAUUUACAAGAUUGGACUUUGCAAACUACGUUCAUCUUGAAGGGAUGUAUUAGUAUAAAUAUUAUUAU
rnacentral:sRNA from 1 species